rnacentral:rRNA from 2 species
AACGACUCUCGGCAACGGAUAUCUCGGCUCUCGCAUCGAUGAAGAACGUAGCGAAAUGCGAUACUUGGUGUGAAUUGCAGAAUCCCGUGAACCAUCGAGUCUUUGAACGCAAGUUGCGCCCGAGGCCUCGGCCGAGGGCACGUCUGGCUGGGUGUCACGCAUCG